UACGAAGGGGGCUAGCGUUGUUCGGAAUUACUGGGCGUAAAGGGCGCGUAGGCGGACAGUUUAGUCAGAGGUGAAAGCCCAGGGCUCAACCUUGGAAUUGCCUUUGAUACUGGCUGUCUUGUGUACGGGAGAGGUGUGUGGAACUCCGAGUGUAGAGGUGAAAUUCGUAGAUAUUCGGAAGAACACCAGUGGCGAAGGCGACACACUGGCCCGUUACUGACGCUGAGGCUCGAAAGCGUGGGGAGCAAACAGG
rnacentral:rRNA from 1 species